UACGAGAGGUCCAACCGUUAUUCGGAAUCACUGGGCUUACAGAGUUCGUAGGCGGUUCUACAAGUGGGGUGUGAAAGCCCUCGGCUCAACCGAGGAACUGCGCUCCAAACUGUAGAACUAGAGGAAGAUAGAGGUGAGCGGAACUGAUGGUGGAGCGGUGAAAUGCGUUGAUAUCAUCAGGAACACCGGAGGCGAAGGCGGCUCACUGGGUCUUUUCUGACGCUGAGGAACGAAAGCUAGGGGAGCAAACGGG
rnacentral:rRNA from 1 species